ensembl:lncRNA
UCAUUUUCAUGACAUUUAUUUCAAUAAUCAUAAUAGGUGCAUAGAGCAGGGUGAAGAGGGGGUGUAGUCUCAGGCUCAGUUCCUUCCAGGGAAGGUGUUGUGGGGCCAGGUAGAAGGCUGAUUCCCCUGCCUGGGCCCAGGGCAUUCUGUAGCAUCCUGCAAUCAAGACAAAAACACAUGUGUCACACACACACACACACACACACACACACACACACACACACACACACACACACACACACACACACACACACACACACACACACACACACACACACACACACACACACACACACACACACACACACACACACACACACACACACCUAUAUAUUCCAAAAGCUUCACCUGUGAAAUGGGUUAUGGUUAAGGGUUUAGCUAUUACUUAGGGUUAGGGAAUAGGGCUUGGUUAGGGAAUAGGGCUAACUUAGGCUUAGGGAAAGGAAGCAAGGACUUAGGGUUAGGGAAAGGAAGCAAGGACUUAGGCUUAGGGAAAGGAAGCCAGGACUUAGGCUUAGGGAAAGGAAGCAAGGACUUAGGGUUAGGGAAAGGAAGCAAGGACUUAGGCUUAGGGAAAGGAAGCCAGGACUUAGGCUUAGGGAAAGGAAGCCAGGACUUAGGCUUAGGGAAAGGAAGCAAGGACUUAGGCUUAGGGAAAGGGAAAGGAAGCAAGGACUUAGGGUUAGGGAAAGGAAGCAAGGACUUAGGGUUAGGCUUUAGGGUUAAGGGUUUGGGGAAAGGGUUUGGUUAGGUAUAAGCAUGAAAACGACAGGAGGGAGGAUCAUGCCUUGGUUCUCUAUACAGGCUACACAAUAUAUUUAUGUAUGCUGUUCUCUGCUCAUGGGACAAACAUUUAGCACAUUUGUCCUAUUAGAGCCAGAAGAGAUGGACAUCACACUAUCAAGGUGGCUGCAUCCAGGACCAGUACAUAAAACAACUGUUGAGAAACCACACACACACACAAACACACACACACACACAACAGGAGGGAGGAUCAUGCCCUUGUUCUAUUGUGA